ensembl:snRNA U6 U6 spliceosomal RNA
GAGUAUCCUCUUUCAUAGCUCAUGUACUAAAAUUGGGAGGAUACAGAGAAGCUGAGCAGGGCUCCUGGGCAAGGACGGCAUGCGGUUUGUGAAACAUCGCAUCUUUUG